rnacentral:lncRNA from 12 species
GAACCAACAGGUGCCUUUUUCAGGGUCAAGAAACACUGAAGUUGUGGCGUAGGAAGAGCAAGAGGGUGGCAAGCACCUCUUAGUUGGCUUCUCUUCCCCUCAACACUGUAACCAGAAGCCCCGAGUUUGACCCGGGCCCUUUGUCCAUUCUGAAGGGGCUCAGGCAAAGCUGGCUGAGCAGGUUAGUGCUGGGGCGGAGCCCGGAGACUGCCCUGCCCCAGGGCAGCUGUCACCUACAACAGCCAGACUGCAACUAUAAAUCCCGGCUGCCCCGCUGUUUGCGCCAGGGCCCCCCCAGCCGAGGGGCCUGGGUUAUUCUGGGCGGGCCUAGGACAGGGAACCUCUUAGCUAGGGCUUGGGGAGGAUGAAUUCAGAUGCUGGGGAAAAAGGCAGCAGAGAGCAGCAGGUGGGGAGGAAGCGGGAGUCACCAGUCUGGGACAAUUGCCUAGAAUAAACACUAUUGUCUGCCACAGGCUUUUCUGUGCCAGCCUGGGCCUGCUGAGCUGACCGCGUUUAAAGGGCCAGUUGCUGUGCUAACAGACGGGGGCUCAGGUCGGUUCUGCAGGAGCAGGUCACAGCAAUGAACCUGAGGUUCCUCACGAGAUAUGAAGGCAGAGGCCAGGAGCCUGUGGGAGCAGGAACGGGUCAAGACGAGAAGCUGAGCUUAUGUCUGGCACUCGUUAAAAAUCGGGAAAUCAAGAAACUCCCUUUUCUUCUGCGGUCAAAGGCUGCUGAUUCCCCACCGUCUGCUGUGUUGCUGUGUAUCGGCGCCGCGGGGCCUUAGGCAGUGACCCCCGGAGCAUCGUGGGCGCACAACAGCGGGCAGGAGAGGAUGCCACCGCAGGUCAGGUUGCAGAGAGGACCCUGGGGGCGGGCAGGGCGGCAGCAGCAGAUGUUUCCAUCUGAUGAAUUCGCAGGCACACGCAUGCCUUAAGUCCGCUCUGCACAGAGACGCAGCCCUAAAAAUAGCUCCGAGCUUAUUUCCCUCCUUUGCAAUGUAUGGUCCCCAGCUCUAGUGCUUCUCCUCCCCCAGACGAGCCCCUGCUGUCUGCCAGUCUGGGCUGGAAUUAGCACACCGGUGGCUGCUGCGGAGACUCGGGAUCCCUGCUGGUGGCGGCCCAAGGAGUGGGGGGCACAGCUGAGCUCUAGCUGCACUCGUGGGGCCCUUGGUAACCUGCAUCCAGCAGGCUGCGGGCACCCCCCCC